UAGAAUUAAGCCUCUUGGAUUCAGCAAGACUACAUUGCACAGUUUUCUGGCCAUGGAGAUCCUCUUGCACUUGGAGAAAUAAAGGAAAGAUACAGAAGUCCAAUUCAGAAAGUGCUAAAAUCAAACAUCCAAUGCACUUUGUUCCCUGGAACAUGGAAGAUGGAAGGGGCAAAAGAUGAAGAAAGAUUGGAAAACUUCAUCUACUUUUCCCCCCACUGAAAGUUUCUGUGACUAAGCACUUUGUAGCUACUUGGGAGGAUGAGGCAGGAAGAUUGCAAUGUGGAGGCCAGCCUGGGCAAGUCAGUGAGGCCCUAAUUCAAAAACAAACAAACAACAACAACAAAAAACAACAAAACAAAACAACAACAUCAACAACAACAACAAACAAAGGAGAAGAGCUGGGGAUGUAGUUCAAUGGUAGAACACUUGUCCAGUAGCACAAACCAAAGCAAACUAAAAUAAAACAAAACAAAAAAGAAAGUCUUUAAAGAGAUAUACAAGUAGCUGGUAGGAAGGGAGAAGUUCCAAAUCAGAUGGAAGAUUGACAUUUUAACUAUGUUGAAUGUUUUUUUUUUUUCUCCUUUUAAAAUAUCUUAAGUGAUAACAAAGCAAUGAGAUCUGCUGAUAAUGUUAAAAGGACAGGAUGACCUUAUCAAUUAUUACCAAGUUGUCUUCCUAGCUCUCAUCUGCUGGAAGGACUUUUCCUUGCUAUAGGGAAGCUGGAUGUGUCAGGAAAUUUUAGAAGUAUUUCUAAAAUUUUACAAGGAAAAUUUUAGAAGUAUUUAGGUUUGUUGAAAAGGAGAAAAUUCAGUAGGUGUACUUAGGCUAGACUGAUUGUAACAUAAUAAAUAAAUUAUAGUCUGUUGUUGACUGUGUUUAUGACUUCUCUCUGGCCAUUAAAAUUGGUUAAAUAAAAUAAUUAUACUGCA